CGUAUCUAGUCAUGUCAGCACUUAACAGAAAAACUGACGGAGGUAUGACAUUAACACAAAUUCGUAAGAUGAGUUAUGACAUUAUCAUUUUAAAAAGAUGAGCUAUGAAAGUGUCGUGACACCAAUAGUUGAGGUAGUUUUUUGUAUUUUACCCAAAAUAAUAUGUGAGAGGAGGAAAGAAAAAAGAAUGAGAAUAGAAGGGAAGAGAAUCCUACUCCGUUUCAAAUUUGCUUUGGGAGCCUCUUGGGUUUGGCGUCCCUAAACUUUCUAUCGUAUUCUCAUUUCUCACUCACUUUUGAAGUAUGCCAAAGGCCAAAACCCUUGCUGGUUUGGGCGUAGGAUUUACAAGUCCUAAAAUAUUUAAUGUUAAGAUUGUAAGGGAUUGAUCACAAACAAUUAGGUAGAACGGAUUAAAAGUGUUCUUAACGCGCAUUGCGAUGACAUUAGGGGUUGAUUCACUAUUCAACGCAAGUGAUCUUGGAACCACUCGGACUUCCAAAGAAGCGCAUUUGAAAACUUGUGAAGACCGCCCAACCGUCUGGACAUGUAGUGGAAGAGAGAAUAUCACUAUGACUUUAUUCUUGAACCUUGGUUAUAACGGACAAGAAAAACUUUUUCUCUCAAUUUCCCACGUGACCAAUUCUCUUUUUUUUUUAAUUGUUGUCAAAUUAGGUUGUGUUACUCUAGCAUUGUUGACCAAUUCUCAUGAUUAAAAUAGGUAUUUAUUCAAAAUCUAUUUCAUCCAUCCUCAUCAAAUCCUCACCAUAAGUAACCUCCAAAUAUUCAUUCAAAAUAGGAUUCAUUACCUAAAUUAAUUAAUUGAUUUUCUAAUUAAUUAAUUAAUUAAUUUUCUAAUUGAUUGCAAGAUAUUAUGUCCAUUACACCCUAAAACCACCAAAUGAAGUCGGUUCCCACUUCCAAAGGGCCGGCCACACCCCUAUAAAUACCACCUCAUUUUCUUCAAAAACCUAAAUUGAAUCAUCUUGCAAAAUCCUCUAACACUAUGUUUAGAUGAAGAAAUUUAAGAUUACUAAUGAAUUUUAAAAUGACAGAAAUUGAAAUGACGAGAUUUUAUCUUCUAGAAUUUGUGAAUUUUCUUGUUUGGUUAAUCUAAAAGAACAAUGGAAUUGAGAAUGAAAUUUGUUAAUUUUAAACUCUCAAUCAUAGAAAUCGGGAAAUUACACAUAUUUACAUGGAAUUUAAACUUAGGAAUUAUAGGCUCCAAAUUCCAAGUUUUUUUUGUUUUCAAGUGGAAAUUCUAAAUUUCUAUGUUUAUAAAUCCAACAAGGGAAUUGGUGCAUGUCAAUUUAUAAAUUCUGACUUUUAUCCAAAUUCUAAGUUUAUUUCAUUCAUCCAAACAUAGUGUAAAUUCUCUAAAUACUUUUCCCUCAAAAUAUUAACUUUGGCAUCGAAGGUUCUUCUGCUAAAGUUCCUCCCAUUCAUCUUGGGCGCGUGAGGCUCUUGGUCUUGAUCUAAGGUGUUAAUUGUUUUUGUAGGUGCAUUUUCGUCCAAUAACAAGAAUGAAGAAGUUUGCAUCCACAGCUAGAUUUGAAAACAUUAUAAAAGGUAGUUUAAUUAAAUUAACUAAUAAAUUUAAAGUAUAAACAUAAAACUAAUAAAUUAUUAAGGGAGCUAUAUUUAACCCAUUCGGUUGGAGAUGGUAUAUGAGUAUGACUUGACACUAUUCAUUUAAAAAUAAUAUUUUGUAAGGCUAUAAUUUUAGAGAUGACUAUAUUUAGCUUUUUCAGUUUGAGAUAACCUUAGCAAAAGGAUCAUCGGACAAUUUGGCCAAAUCCAAGAAGGAAACACGUUGUUUCUCAUCGCAGGGCUACACUUUGGGUUAUGGGUGUAGAGAUAAACUGCAUUAAUCCCUGGUCUAAAGGUGGUAAAGACAAAUUUUCAUUUUUCUUAUUAAUUUCUUUAAAGAAAGUUUUGGUAGUUUUAUGAACAAAUUUUGUUAGUUGGAUGUAGAGAUACAUAAUUUAGAUUGAAAUGAAAUUUUCCUAUGUGAAAUUGCUUUUGGUUAUAUGACAUGGAAUGUGUUGAUCUUCAAAAUUGUAAUGUUAAUAAAUUAGAACAAUGAGCCCAUGAUUGACAUGGUAUAUGAACCAAAAUGAAUUGAACUUAAGGAUGUAAGUCGUUCAUUCCUCAANN
rnacentral:lncRNA from 1 species